UAGCAGAAUGGAGGGAUCUGGCUGGCAUGUAGGGUUACUUCCGAGAUUAAAACACACGAGGCAAAACAUGUUCUGCCGUAAUUCAGUUCAAAACCGGGGUCUGUGAGAAAAGCAGUAGGCCUGUACGGCACUGUGUUGCAGGAGUUUCUUUCCAAAAUAAAAUAAAUAUAUAAUUGCAAUUUUUUUAUUUUAUUGAUCAAACUAAGCAAUUCUCUAACAUAGACAUGGAUCGGGUGAUGAACCCUCCCCAAUCCUGCUAGGACUGGGGAGGGUUCAUGUUCUACUUUACAGGAACGUCCCACACAAGCAGGGGAAAGGAGGACGCGUCAGAAGAGCCACAUUUGGGUUAAAGAUACAGCGACCGAGCUGGGCAGUUUCCAGCCCCAAGGCCACCCAGGAUAUGAAAGGAUAUUACGACCGGGCCAGACAAAUGCAAAUGGACGGUCAUGUGGGGCGGUCGUUUAAGGAAACUGCUCCCGUGCUUCCCUGUCCUCGCGAAUUUAUUGCAUCAAACAAUUCAAUCCACUCGGGAGAGAAGAGAAUUGAGUUUCGGCAUUGUUGUUGGUUGUCUGUGUUGUGUGCGCUGUUUAGUUUGGAGUGCCUCUUUUGUUGAAUGUCAAACACUGAAACACCCCCUCAGAAACAUGCCAAACGGGACGGGUCUGGGUGCUUCUUUCCUGGGGACAGUCGGAUGAAAGGGCGCCGAUUCCCUGUGGCUACGCCAGGACAACAAAGCGAGGCUCCAGCGUGGAAUUCAAAUGCAACCCGAA